rnacentral:rRNA from 1 species
AGCCUAGGUCGGAUUAGCUAGUUGGUGAGGUAAUGGCUCACCAAGGCGACGAUCCGUAACUGGUCUGAGAGAUGAUCAGUCACACUGGAACUGAGACACGGUCCAGACUCCUACGGGAGGCAGCAGUGGGGAAUAUUGGACAAUGGGCGAAAGCCUGAUCCAGCCAUGCCGCGUGUGUGAAGAAGGUCUUCGGAUUGUAAAGCACUUUAAGUUGGGAGGAAGGGUAGUAACCUAAUACGUUGCUACUUUGACGUUACCGACAGAAUAAGCACCGGCUAACUUCGUG